rnacentral:lncRNA from 1 species
UUUUUCUUUUGGCUAAUAAUGCUUCUGAGGUUUGGAUAAGUAACUAAGAGGAAGGAGAUCUCCUUCUAGUCCAUCCUGCUGCCGACAAUUAAGAAACCUCAAAGUAAUUUUUGAAAAUGUCAGCGUCUCAUUUAGCAAAAGGAUAAAUAAUAAAUGAAGCGUAAUCACUGUCCUGCGCUAGUGGUACAGCUUCGCGGUGUCAUUAGUAAACUAACGGUAUAAUAUCUUUGUGUCACAGUUUAAUUAUAUCUUGUAAUUAGUUUCAGCAAUGGAUUGCAUAGAGUCAGGCCCCCUGAGCUAAACAAAAGGUAAUAGAACUUUCAGCGCCCCUGCAUAAAUCAAUUAUGAAAGUGUCCUACGUUAUUUGAAGCUUGUUUGCUGUAAUUUUAUGCACAAAGCCCAACUGGACCUUCUUGCUUGUGGAGGGCUGUGCACCCAACCCCACACUCGUCUGCAGCUGAGCCUGUGGUCGGCCCACACGCAGCCUGGCCCACUGGUGCAUUUCUCAGGACCAGCUCAGCAGUCAAUACCAUGGAGGGGGUGAGGUGUUGAGGGGAGGGGAGGGGAGGUGGGGGAUGGGGGGCAGGGGACGCACGAGGACCGGAGCAGGUAAUAGAUGCGCCAUGUGCAAGAAAGCAGGGAAUCAAAUAGGAAAAGAUGUGAGGGCUUGGAAGAAUGAUUCUUUAUGCUUCCCUGAACAAAGAUGAGAAGGUUAGGAGCAUCAAAGGCCAAGCAACGUUGAUGAAUAUGGGCAGGCAGACGAGAUCCAUGUCCCUUUAUCAUUUUAUCCUUUCAACAUCCCCACUCUCCCCACGCGGUUGGAAUUGGAACCAGCACAGGUUACUUGGCAAUAGGGGAUGGGGAAGGAGAAUCCACAUCUUUAAUUGGGUCUAAUUCGGGUCCCACAGAGCUCAGAAACUGUAAAGGGCUUCCGAGCGUCGUUGAGGGCUAGCUGUGGUCACCAGGCCCAGACGGGAGAGUCACGAAGUCCCGCUGGGGGAAGCUAAGAAGAAACUCAGGGGCGGGGGGUUGGUUAAGUCCAAAUGCCACCAAUACGUGUGAUCAUCUCUUUUUGAUCAAACUGUAAGGCAUGGCAGAGAGUGGGGGUGGGGUCCACAUUCAAAGUCCUCAUCCAGUUGGCUUUGAAAGUAAGUCUAGUGCCACACUGGCCUUUCUGUUUAUACAACAAUUUAUAGGUUUAAACGAAACCCCGCUUGAAAAAGCAGACUGAAUCUUCCUAUUGUGAGCACUUCAGCAAAUUUAACAAAAGAAAGAGCCCAGGCGAAGGAGAGAGAGGAGAGAGAGAGAGAGAAAGGUCCAGUCCUCAGACUGGUGUGCUGCAAUCUGGCUGGUUGCUAUGGCGACGUGAUGGUUUGUUCACAUGGCAACAUACCUUAGGUCCACUAUUAAAAUGAUGAGAGUGAACUCGGUUGCAUUAAGGAGAGUGUGCUGUAUGCUAAAGCGAGUCUUUAUCUCCAGAGAGAGCUGGACAGAGACUGGCAUCCAGUACAAAUGAGGGAGAAAAGGAGGAGGUGGUAAAGGUUGGAGGUCUGGAAGAGGGA